rnacentral:tRNA from 1 species
AGAAUAAAAGCUUUAUAGCAUUUCACUUACACUGAAAAUAACUAAAUAUAAUAAUUAUA